UAGGGAAUCUUCCACAAUGGGCGAAAGCCUGAUGGAGCAACGCCGCGUGUGUGAUGAAGGGUUCCGGCUCGUAAACNCUGUUGUAAGAGAAGAAUGACAUUGAGAGUAACUGUUCAAUGUGUGACGGUAUCUUACCAGAAAGGAACGGCUAAAUACGUGCCAG
rnacentral:rRNA from 1 species